AGAGGAAUGGUGCAUCUGGUCUGGAAGAGACGGAGAAAAAGAAAGAAAAUAUUACAAAUGAAAACGUCAAGGCAUCCUAGAAAACAGCAGCCAAUUCAAUUAAAGCUGUGAAUGUGGCACUCAUCAUCCCAUCCAGCUGGCAAACGCCCUUAAUGACCUUGAAGACAUCCAGAUAGCUACUGAACCAGGUGCAAAGAAUAGCAGCUGAUGUGGAGAAAUGUUUGAUGCUUCAAGACUCCCUGAAGCUGAUUAUAUUAGGUGCACCCAGUGGCUUUUGACUAGGCCUAUUCGAGGGUCACAUGGUUGUGAAUUCAUACCUCAACUUUGUGGCUGAAUCUUCAGUCUUAUUACAACUUCAGCCUGGCGUCCCGGGAGCAGGUGUCUUUUGCACACUUUAAUUAAUUUCAAAGAUGUUUUGUUGGAAUCACAACACUCACUGGAUACAAGAUGGAUAUACAGAGGCAAAACAAGUGGAAAGGUCUCAGAGAAGAGGGACAACCCUCAUGUGUG